AACGAACGCUGGCGGCAUGCCUAACACAUGCAAGUCGAACGAGACCUUCGGGUCUAGUGGCGCACGGGUGCGUAACGCGUGGGAACCUGCCCUUAGGUUCGGAAUAACUCCCCGAAAGGGGUGCUAAUACCGGAUAAUGUCUUCGGACCAAAGAUUUAUCGCCUUUGGAUGGGGCCGCGUUGGAUUAGCUAGUUGGUAGGGUAAAAGCCUACCAAGGCGACGAUCCAUAGCUGGUCUGAGAGGAUGAUCAGCCACACUGGGACUGAGACACGGCCCAGACUCCUACGGGAGGCAGCAGUGGGGAAUAUUGGACAAUGGGCGAAAGCCUGAUCCAGCAAUGCCGCGUGAGUGAUGAAGGCCUUAGGGUUGUAAAGCUCUUUUACCCGGGAUGAUAAUGACAGUACCGGGAGAAUAAGCUCCGGCUAACUCCGU
rnacentral:rRNA from 1 species